rnacentral:lncRNA from 1 species
GGGGCCCCGGUCCGGGCCCGUGCCACCGUCCCUUAGUCCCUUCCUUCAGGGAACCAGCGCCAUUCACUGCUUUCCUUUGGGACCUUGGUCGAAAGGCUCCCGCGCUCUUCAGGAGCUGCUGCUAUUGGCGGAGCUAGUUUCCAAGGUUAGCUCCUAUUGGCUGCUUGCCUUACUCAGGCUGAUUUCAGAGAUGUGAUAUGUGCCUCUAGGAUCAAUGGAAUAUGGUAUUUGGAAAGAAGAAGAGACCAAGAAUAAAGGACCUAGCACUUUAAGGACUUCACCCUACUGCCUUUCCCAGUCUUGCCACAAGAGUCCUCGAUGGGUACACAGCAGCAAUGAUACCAGAAGCCAAACUAAAGGUGGUGGUCUGGAGCACCUACUGAGCCAGGGCCCUGUCCUAAGAUUUUGG